rnacentral:rRNA from 1 species
UCUGACUNGAGUGCAGAAGGGGAGAGUGGAAUUCCAUGUGUAGCGGUGAAAUGCGUAGAUAUAUGGAGGAACACCAGUGGCGAAAGCGGCUCUCUGGUCUGUCACUGACGCUGAGGCUCGAAAGCGUGGGUAGCGAACAGGAUUAGAUACCCUGGUAGUNCACGCCGUAAACGAUGAGUGCUAGGUGUUAGGCCCUUUCCGGGGCUUAGUGCCGGAGCUAACGCAAUAAGCACUCCGCCUGGGGAGCACGACCGCAAGGUUGAAACUCAAAGGAAUUGACGGGGGCCCGCACAAGCGGUGGAGCAUGUGGUUUAAUUCGAAGCAACGCGAAGAACCUUACCAGGUCUUGACAUCCCGAUGCUAUUCUUAGAGAUAGGAAGUUACUUCGGUACAUCGGAGACAGGUGGUGCAUGGUUGUCGUCAGCUCGUGUCGUGAGAUGUUGGGUUAAGUCCCGCAACGAGCGCAACCCUUAUUGUUAGUUGCCAUCAUUAAGUUGGGCACUCUAGCGAGACUGCCGGUAAUAAACCGGAGGAAGGUGGGGAUGACGUCAAAUCAUCAUGCCCCUUAUGACCUGGGCUACACACGUGCUACAAUGGUCGGUACAACGAGUUGCGAGCCGGUGACGGCAAGCUAAUCUCUGAAAGCCGAUCUCAGUUCGGAUUGGAGGCUGCAACUCGCCUCCAUGAAGUCGGAAUCGCUAGUAAUCGCGGAUCAGCACGCCGCGGUGAAUACGUUCCCGGGCCUUGUACACACCGCCCGUCACACCACGAGAGUUUGUAACACCCGAAGUCGGUGAGGUAACCUUUUAGGGGCCAGCCGCC